rnacentral:rRNA from 1 species
UACGGAGGAUCCAAGCGUUAUCCGGAUUUAUUGGGUUUAAAGGGUGCGUAGGCGGCCAUUUAAGUCAGAGGUGAAAGACGGUAGCUCAACUAUCGCAGUGCCUUUGAUACUGAAUGGCUUGAAUGAACUAGAGGUAGGCGGAAUGAGACAAGUAGCGGUGAAAUGCAUAGAUAUGUCUCAGAACACCGAUUGCGAAGGCAGCUUACUAUGGUUUAAUUGACGCUGAGGCACGAAAGCGUGGGGAUCAAACAGG